GCUUUUUGGAUCAAUGACCUUCAC
rnacentral:miRNA from 1 species